UACACGGUGGAUGCCCUGGCAGUCAGAGGCGAUGAAGGGCGUGCUAAUCUGCGAUAAGCGCCGGUAAGGUGAUAUGAACCGUUAUAACCGGCGAUACCCGAAUGGGGAAACCCAGUGUGAUUCGUCACACUAUCAUUAACUGAAUCCAUAGGUUAAUGAGGCGAACCGGGGGAACUGAAACAUCUAAGUACCCCGAGGAAAAGAAAUCAACCGAGAUUCCCCCAGUAGCGGCGAGCGAACGGGGAGGAGCCCAGAGCCUGAAUCAGCAUGUGUGUUAGUGGAAGCGUCUGGAAAGGCGCGCGAUACAGGGUGACAGCCCCGUACACAAAAGCGCAUGUGUUGUGAGCUCGAUGAGUAGGGCGGGACACGUGGUAUCCUGUCUGAAUAUGGGGGGACCAUCCUCCAAGGCUAAAUACUCCUGACUGACCGAUAGUGAACCAGUACCGUGAGGGAAAGGCGAAAAGAACCCCGGCGAGGGGAGUGAAAAAGAACCUGAAACCGUGUACGUACAAGCAGUGGGAGCACAGGUUUACCUGUGUGACUGCGUACCUUUUGUAUAAUGGGUCAGCGACUUAUAUUCUGUAGCAAGGUUAACCGAAUAGGGGAGCCGGAGGGAAACCGAGUCUUAAUUGGGCGUUAAGUUGCAGGGUAUAGACCCGAAACCCGGUGAUCUAGCCAUGGGCAGGUUGAAGGUUGGGUAACACUAACUGGAGGACCGAACCGACUAAUGUUGAAAAAUUAGCGGAUGACCUGUGGCUGGGGGUGAAAGGCCAAUCAAACCGGGAGAUAGCUGGUUCUCCCCGAAAGCUAUUUAGGUAGCGCCUCGUGAAUUCAUCUCCGGGGGUAGAGCACUGUUUCGGCUAGGGGGCCAUCCCGGCUUACCAACCCGAUGCAAACUGCGAAUACCGGAGAAUGUUAUCACGGGAGACACACGGCGGGUGCUAACGUCCGUCGUGAAGAGGGAAACAACCCAGACCGCCAGCUAAGGUCCCAAAGUCAUGGUUAAGUGGGAAACGAUGUGGGAAGGCCCAGACAGCCAGGAUGUUGGCUUAGAAGCAGCCAUCAUUUAAAGAAAGCGUAAUAGCUCACUGGUCGAGUCGGCCUGCGCGGAAGAUGUAACGGGGCUAAACCAUGCACCGAAGCUGCGGCAGCGACGCUUAUGCGUUGUUGGGUAGGGGAGCGUUCUGUAAGCCUGUGAAGGUGUGUCGUGAGGCAUGCUGGAGGUAUCAGAAGUGCGAAUGCUGACAUAAGUAACGAUAAAGCGGGUGAAAAGCCCGCUCGCCGGAAGACCAAGGGUUCCUGUCCAACGUUAAUCGGGGCAGGGUGAGUCGACCCCUAAGGCGAGGCCGAAAGGCGUAGUCGAUGGGAAACGGGUUAAUAUUCCCGUACUUGGUGUUACUGCGAAGGGGGGACGGAGAAGGCUAUGUUGGCCGGGCGACGGUUGUCCCGGUUUAAGCGUGUAGGUGUGUGUUCCAGGUAAAUCCGGUUCACUUUAACACUGAGGCGUGAUGACGAGGCACUACGGUGCUGAAGCAACAAAUGCCCUGCUUCCAGGAAAAGCCUCUAAGCAUCAGGUAACAUCAAAUCGUACCCCAAACCGACACAGGUGGUCAGGUAGAGAAUACCAAGGCGCUUGAGAGAACUCGGGUGAAGGAACUAGGCAAAAUGGUGCCGUAACUUCGGGAGAAGGCACGCUGACACGUAGGUGAAGUGAUUUACUCAUGGAGCUGAAGUCAGUCGAAGAUACCAGCUGGCUGCAACUGUUUAUUAAAAACACAGCACUGUGCAAACACGAAAGUGGACGUAUACGGUGUGACGCCUGCCCGGUGCCGGAAGGUUAAUUGAUGGGGUCAGCGCAAGCGAAGCUCCUGAUCGAAGCCCCGGUAAACGGCGGCCGUAACUAUAACGGUCCUAAGGUAGCGAAAUUCCUUGUCGGGUAAGUUCCGACCUGCACGAAUGGCGUAAUGAUGGCCAGGCUGUCUCCACCCGAGACUCAGUGAAAUUGAACUCGCUGUGAAGAUGCAGUGUACCCGCGGCAAGACGGAAAGACCCCGUGAACCUUUACUAUAGCUUGACACUGAACAUUGAGCCUUGAUGUGUAG
rnacentral:rRNA from 1 species